rnacentral:rRNA from 1 species
GACGAACGCUGGCGGCGUGCUUAACACAUGCAAGUCGAACGGAAAGGCCCUGCUUUUGUGGGGUGCUCGAGUGGCGAACGGGUGAGUAACACGCGAGUAACCUGCCCUUGACUUUGGGAUAACUUCAGGAAACUGGGGCUAAUACCGGAUAGGAGCUCCUGCUGCAUGGUGGGGGUUGGAAAGUUUCGGCGGUUGGGGAUGGACUCGCGGGUUAUCAGCUUGUUGGUGGGGUAGUGGCUUACCAAGGCCCUGACGGGUAGCCGGCCUGGGGGGGUGACCGGCCACCUUGGGACUGAGAGACGGCCCAGACUCCUACGGGAGGCAGUAGGGGGGAGUAUUGCGCAGUGGGCGGGAGCCUGAUGCAGCGACGCCCCGUGCGGGAUGACGGCCUUCGGGUUGUAAACCGCUUUCGCCUGUGACGAAGCGUGAGUGACGGUAAUGGGUAAAGAAGCACCGGCUAACUACGUG